AUUGAACGCUGGCGGCAUGCUUUACACAUGCAAGUCGAACGGCAGCGCGGGGCAACCUGGCGGCGAGUGGCGAACGGGUGAGUAAUACAUCGGAACGUACCCAGAAGUGGGGGAUAACGUAGCGAAAGUUACGCUAAUACCGCAUACGUUCUACGGAAGAAAGUGGGGGACUUUCGGGCCUCAUGCUUUUGGAGCGGCCGAUGUCUGAUUAGCUAGUUGGUAGGGUAAAGGCCUACCAAGGCGACGAUCAGUAGCUGGUCUGAGAGGACGACCAGCCACACUGGGACUGAGACACGGCCCAGACUCCUACGGGAGGCAGCAGUGGGGAAUUUUGGACAAUGGGCGCAAGCCUGAUCCAGCAAUGCCGCGUGAGUGAAGAAGGCCUUCGGGUUGUAAAGCUCUUUUGUCAGGGAAGAAACGGUCGGGGUUAAUACCUCUGGCUAAUGACGGUACCUGAAGAAUAAGCACCGGCUAACUACGUGCCAGCAGCCGCCGUAA
rnacentral:rRNA from 1 species